CCGAUGAUAGCUCAGUUGGUAGAGCGGCAGACUGUAGAUCUGUUGGUCACCGGUUCGAUUCCGGUUCAUCGGA
rnacentral:tRNA from 2 species